CGCAGCAGCCAGCCUUGACUGCUGUUCCCUCUGUUCCCUGCCCACUCCUCCCUCGGUCUCUCCAGCCAAGGUGAGGGUAUCUGAGGAGUGGGAAAUGAGAAUCUAAUCCUCCUCCUCCUGUUGUUCCCAGGCCGCCCUGUCCAAGACUAUUUGUCUUUGAGCUCUGUUCUCUCACACGUGUCCGGCCUGGGCUGGCUGGCCUCCUACUUGCCCUCCUUCCUCCGUGUGCCCAAGUGGAUUAUUGCCCUCUACACUAGCAAGUUCUAACCCUCCUGGUCUGACACCACGUCUGUUUGUCUUCUCAUUUGGGCUUGGUGGUUUGUCCUAUCUCAAUGAAACAGCAGCCUUUCUUGCUUACCCAUACCCUUGAUAUGAAGAGAAGCCCUCUGCUGUGUGUCCGUGGUGAGUUCUGGGGUGCGCCUAGGUCCUUUCUUUGUGCCUUGGUUUUCCUUGUCCUUCUUUUUACUUUUUGCCUUAGUAUUGAAAAAUGCUCUUGGAGCUAAUAAAAAUCUCAUUUCUCUUUCAA
rnacentral:sRNA from 1 species